GAAGGGGGCGACGAGCACGCUCUACAGGCUAUCCAAAAAGUCGAGUACCGGCAUUAAUAUUUAUUUUCAAGCCGACAGGAACAGGUGAAAAUGAAUUAGUGAAAAGAUCGAACGUAUUUUGUUACUUUCGAUUCAAGGUUUGUAUUAUCUCUUGUAGAAAAUGAAUUUACUUUGCGGCAAAAGAAGAGAGCGUGUCACGGAACGGCUUUAAAGUUUGCGGUCAGUGUGCACACGAUCGUGUAGAAACGCAAUCGGUUUAAUCUGAUGUAACACUUGCCAGGCGUCACUCACCAUUUCAUCCGUCUAACGCCGAUUUACAUAUCGAUUUUGAAGCGUGCUGCGAGCACGCCGUGAUGGAAGGCGGUCCGCUCGAGAAACGGUGUACGUAGGACAGCCGAAUGGUCACUGGAUUUAAAUAAAUCGAACAAUAUGAAUGAAAA